rnacentral:rRNA from 1 species
GGAGCUUGCUCCUUUGACGUUAGCGGCGGACGGGUGAGUAACACGUGGAUAACCUACCUAUAAGACUGGGAUAACUUCGGGAAACCGGAGCUAAUACCGGAUAAGAUCUUGAACCGCAUGGUUCAAUAGUGAAAGACGGCCUUGCUGUCACUUAUAGAUGGAUCCGCGCCGUAUUAGCUAGUUGGUAAGGUAACGGCUUACCAAGGCAACGAUACGUAGCCGACCUGAGAGGGUGAUCGGCCACACUGGAACUGAGACACGGUCCAGACUCCUACGGGAGGCAGCAGUAGGGAAUCUUCCGCAAUGGGCGAAAGCCUGACGGAGCAACGCCGCGUGAGUGAUGAAGGUCUUCGGAUCGUAAAACUCUGUUAUCAGGGAAGAACAAACGUGUAAGUAACUGUGCAUGUCUUGACGGUACCUGAUCAGAAAGCCACGGCUAACUACGUGCCAGCAGCCGCGGUAAUACGUAGGUGGCAAGCGUUAUCCGGAAUUAUUGGGCGUAAAGCGCGCGUAGGCGGUUUUUUAAGUCUGAUGUGAAAGCCCACGGCUCAACCGUGGAGGGUCAUUGGAAACUGGAAAACUUGAGUGCAGAAGAGGAAAGUGGAAUUCCAUGUGUAGCGGUGAAAUGCGCAGAGAUAUGGAGGAACACCAGUGGCGAAGGCGACUUUCUGGUCUGUAACUGACGCUGGUGUGCGAAAGCGUGGGGAUCAAACAGGAUUAGAUACCCUGGUAGUCC